rnacentral:lncRNA from 1 species
UCAGUUCCAACUGAAAAUGAUAAUAUGCAUGCAAGGCUGAUGCCAGAUCCUCCUAAUCCAAACAUGGUUGGUACACACAAUUCUGGUAUAGAAGAUGCAUUUACAGUGGCAGAUGCUCCACAUGUUCCUAGUUCUGCAAAACAUUCUUCUGCAGGUGGAAAAACAGAUGGACAGCCAAGUAUUGGUCAGUCAGCGAUGUUACAUGAGGGAGUUGGUUUUCCAAUGGAAAAAAAAUAAUACAGGAGAACGAUCUAUGCCAUACCCUGCUGAUCCAAAGAUUGUUGACCCAGAGAACAUGGGUUUGGUGGAGGAUGCUGAAGUGCUGAGUGCUGCAGUGGAGACAAGUAAGAGAAAACAAGAUGCUGAUGAAAACACUAUCCUGAACUCAGAUAGCAACAAGUGGCAAG